rnacentral:rRNA from 1 species
UACGAAGGGGGCUAGCGUUGCUCGGAAUCACUGGGCGUAAAGCGCGCGUAGGCGGACUCUUAAGUCGGGGGUGAAAGCCCAGGGCUCAACCCUGGAAUUGCCUUCGAUACUGGGAGCCUUGAGUUCGGAAGAGGUUGGUGGAACUGCGAGUGUAGAGGUGAAAUUCGUAGAUAUUCGCAAGAACACCAGUGGCGAAGGCGGCCAACUGGUCCGAUACUGACGCUGAGGCGCGAAAGCGUGGGGAGCAAACAGG